CACAGAUAAUGUCAAUCUUUAAUGGCAGAUGGCCUGAAAUGUCUUCAUUUAACAUUUUCAUAAAAACGUCUCAUUUUGAUCAUCUCCUUUUUUUUGUUUCAAACAAACAAACCUCUGCAAUUCACUGAAAUACAGUUUCUCCUUACAGCGGCUAAAGUACAUAAAUAUCAACAGUACUGUAUGCAUUAGGAAAAAGGAAAAAGAAGAACACGCACACACACAUGCCGUGAACAUGCACUGAACACACAGCUACACACGCGGUAUACUGAAACAAGUAAAGAAAUGAUUUGUCACUGACAAAAGGAGGGGGGGGGGGUCGUCUUAUUCGUUUUUUCAGGAACUUCUGUACCGUACCGCUGGCGAAACACAAAAGGCCCAUUCGUUCGAGGAGUAUAUCUUCUUCUCUGGAUUUCACAGUGAAUUAUGCAGGUAAAACAGUAUUCACAUGUUACAUACAGUAUGCUCCAAUCAGACCGAUACAAACGAAGAAAAAAGCUCUAGAAAUUUUUACCAAAUGAAAAUACAAUAAAACUUACAAUAAUACUUACAUUGAAUUAUAUGAUGGGCAUUUUCUAUGAACCUUAAAAAGACAACACCCAUUAAAAAACACACACAACAUUCACGCACGUUGUAUAAAUACUUGUUCUAAUAAAUCUGAGUGCCACACUUGGCUUAAAAAUGUCUGUAAAAGCAAAAAUAAAAACCAAAAAAAAACAAAACCUUCAGCUGAUUUAAUAGAUAUGAUGCAUAUUAUCAUUAAUUACAAACACUUGACUACUGUAUGAUUCAACCAGUCCGAUAUAAUUGUACACAAAGGGGCUAAACAUCACAGGGGACGCUCGUCUCCUCACGCCGUUUGAUUGUCACAUCGGCGUGAAAUGCGACUUGGCCUUCGGAGACUGGUUUCGUAUUAACGAAUGAAGAUUUUGGCGUCAAGAUGUCACAGAAAUAUGAUCACUCGAUGAUAUGUCAUACAGCAAAGACGUUAUUGCAAGAUUACAAAAGAUUGUUUUGUUUUUUAUCUUUUCUUUUUUUAUACAUCUCACUCCAAUCAUUAUUAUGUAAAUUCAAACUUUACAAAAGCAGGUUGAAUCACACCGGCUCCCUAAAAAUAGACAAAAGACACAAAUCGCUUAAAGUGAAUAUCCUUUCAGAUGCAGAGUGGCUCUUUGGAGUGACACCAAAAGGGACAUGCUGCAAAAAUAAUGUCAUACUUCAUAAGAAAUCAGACUGACUACAAAAGUAGUCAAAAAUGGAAUAAACCACUAGCCUAGAUAGCUCUCCAGUGUAAAAAAAAAAGAGGAAAAAAAAGCCUUUGGUCUUGUUUCUCUAUACUGUGCUGCUGUCCUCCUGCUACACAGCGAAGGAGCGAUUUCCUAAUUAUAGCAGGGCUCAGUUUGCCAAGUAUUGCCAUCACGCUAUACGUGACAUUGGGGUCACGCUACCUUCCACCGGCGAUGGCUUUUUCCUGUCAGUGCCUCUUUUCACACAUCUGAUUACCUCAAACAGCCAAACUACGAGCCGGAUCAGGUGCGUUUUGUCACUCAACGUUAAAUCGCUUCAGACAAAAGACUUCUGUGUUUCGGGUAAAGACGCCACAGACGGACAAAAAAAAAGGACACAUGAGCGAAUCAAAAUUCCUUUUGGAGCAGAGACAAUAGCAAACUGGCAGGACUGCUUUGGUAUAGCAGGGCGACUUGUUGUUUUAAAAUGGCACCGAACAGAAAGGGAACAAAAAAAGAAAAGGUAUAAAACGUCCUCACACGAUUUAGCACAACAUAAAUCAACCCAAACAAAACCGUUUCAAACAUCGUCUUGAUUACAAAAAUACCUUUUUGUAUUUCUUUAAAAUAUCUAAAAAUGUACAGCAUUGUUUUUUCGUUGUUUUCUCUCUCACGCUCUUUUUUUUUUUUUUUUUUUUGCAAAGUCAUGCUUCAACAUGUAAUUUCAUAAUCAUAAUAACAUUAAUAUGAAUGAUAUACAGAAUAGUAAUAAUUAUAGUCAUAUAAUAACAUUACUCAGUAGCACUUUAGCCACACUUCCGGGCGUCUGCAAAGUGGUUGCAUAAAACAACGUUUGCACUCCUUUUAGGUGGUCGGCUUUACACCCGCAUGUAGAGGAUGCAGAGCGAGAGACCAGCUAGGCGGGCGAUGCAGUCAGUCGGUAAACAAAGAGCGCGGACGCCUUUGUCGUGCAUGCCUGGUACCUUUCACGGAGGUGUCAGAGGAGGUGUAGCCAAGCACUGCCUGUAAAUUUACGUAACAGUAUAAAAAAGAUUUGGAGGGACUUUUGGGGAGGGGGGGGGACUCGAUGUGUGAUGGAGGCUGGGGUCUAGUAUGUCCUGAGGCCCAUGAGGCUGCUGCUGCCUGAAAGAGAAAGAACGACAGCGGGGUGAGGCUGAAGAUCGUAAUGCUAAUGGAAACACUGGGAAUUACGUGGAAAACACUAACAGCCGUAAAAGUCACACCGAUUUUUUAAAAUCCCCACCCGAUCCAAUGCCAAGACCACACCCACAUUCAAUCUCGUGCUAAAAUUCUGGUGUAUUUGUUCAAAACAUUUCGCAAACCUCAAACAUGCACAGAUGAAAGUGGACACGGUGUCAGUACAGUUUGGCACUGCUUCCUUCAUUCAAGUGGAUGUCUUUGACUGAUGCUGUCUCUCAAAUUUGUAUUUUUUAUUUUUUAAAAAGGACUUUCACACCUUUUCCUGCAAAUCUACACUUUCAAAAUCCCCCCUCUCCCCUGCGGGGGCCCGCUACACGGGCGACGAGGUGCGAUCUACACCUUUUGUCCUCGCCUGUUGGGAUCAACGGUUGUGACGUUCCGAGACGUAGAACUCACCGACGGUGCGCUGCUCCAGCAGCUGGAGUUAGGUCGGUCCUCCUGGUUUCUAAUAGGACACGAGAGGCAAUCGGCAACGCCCGUCACAGCCGGCCACGGCCACCAUCACACAUCAGGAACCUGAGCACACAAAAGGAGACAGUUGGAAUAAACCUGCUGACGAUGUUUCACAGAGGAGUGAAUUUUGGUUUUAUUCCAACAAAACUGUAUGAUUUUUAAAUGUUCUCAAGCUCUUUUAUUACUGGUAUGACAAAGUUAAGCUGCAUUGAACAUACGUUUAUGUUUGAAGCUACAAAGUUACACGUUACUGUCGUCACAUUAUAUGUGACUGUCACACUGAUGUUCCUGAAUGUAAUGAUUAAAGUUGUUAAUCGCAUGAUUUUGUCACUUUCACUACACAAAUUCUCCAUUUAAUCGCACAAGAGAGAAAAAAAAUCAUAAAGAUAGAUAAACACAACUGUCUAACCUCAUGGAGCGAAGACAAAAGUGGCAGAGAGGUGGACAACUUUUGAAUGGUGGUGAUUGCAUGGUGGACAUUACUUAGAAUUUGUUGCACAAAGGGGAAAUCAUUUCUGACAGUAAAGGGACCCAUGCCCAGGAACAAGAUCCAUUCUUUCCGAUUGCCUGUAAAGGCAACACAUUAUUACAGAGCACGUAUCAAAAGACCCCUGGAUCCAGAGCGAUAAUUAAGCUGAUUGUACAGUGUGGUGCAAAAGUCUUGAGCCCCCCAUAAUUUCUCUAUAUUUUACGUCUGAGGAACCAGACUUUCUAGUCAUUUUUAAAGUGGUCUUGUGCAAUAGUUCUCCAAGCUUUCUGAAAGUAUUUCAAAGUUUUUCUUUGAACACCGGCUGCUGUUUCAC
ensembl:lncRNA